UUUUGUAGCUUGGUUCAUGGCACUUGAGCAGCAAAUUCAUGGCCCUUACACUGAAUACUAAAAUGAUGUACAGGCCAGCCAGUGAAGCUAGUUGUAAGUGCAGAGAUUCAUAAACAGAGUCAUCCUGUGAUUUGUCCGUGUCUCCCCGUAUUAACAUUUUACUCUUACUUCGCGAAGGGAGUUGGGCCUCCUGAGCAUGGUCUCCGUGUUGAGGUGGCUUUUCCUUCUUUCCCUGCUUCUGUCAUCAGCUAUGUGGAUUACCCCAUCUACGACGUGCUUCAGAUGGUGGGCCACGCCAACCGCCCUUUGCAGGAUGAUGAGGGGCGCUGUGUCAUCAUGUGUCAGGGCUCCAAGAAGGAUUUCUUCAAGAAGUUCUUAUAUGAGCCAUUGCCAGUAGAAUCUCACCUGGACCACUGUAUGCAUGACCACUUCAAUGCUGAGAUCGUCACCAAGACCAUUGAGAACAAGCAGGAUGCUGUGGACUACCUCACCUGGACCUUUCUGUACCGCCGCAUGACACAGAACCCCAAUUACUACAACCUGCAGGGCAUCUCCCAUCGUCACUUGUCGGACCACUUGUC
rnacentral:sRNA from 1 species